AGGUUGGUCCUAACUGAGCCCGUUUUUUGACAUCUUCCAAUAUUUGAAACCAAUGCUGCCAAUUAAAUUUCUCAUCUGGAUACAUCAUGCUGAAUAUGACUGUCAGUGACCCUGAUUUAAAAGUACAAUGAUAAUGUGUUAAAUGCACGUAGAUAAAUUUGUUUUUUUCCAGUUCAAAUUUCAGUUGCAUUAAUUAGCAUCACAAGUUAAUGCAUAACAAUAUUUUGCAAUAUCAUACACUAGGAAUGGAUACAAGGGCAUACCGUCUUAGCUGCUUGAAGGAAAGUAGUGUCUUUGAAGUUGAUUUUCCUGAAGUCUUAGAAGUGAAAACCGCUCUUCUAGAAGCAGCAAUGGAAUCAAU
rnacentral:lncRNA from 1 species